UGGCGGCGUGCCUAAUACAUGCAAGUCGAACGCAUUGUGGUUGAAAUGAUAUGAAGAACUUGUUCAGAUUUGAUUUUCAACAUUGCAAUGAGUGGCGAACGGGUGAGUAACACGUGGGAAACCUACCUCUUAGCGAGGGAUAACAUUUGGAAACAAAUGCUAAUACCGUAUAAUAAUUAAAACCGCAUGGUUUUAGUUUAAAAGAUGGUCUUGCUAUCACUAAGAGAUGGUCCCGCGGUGUAUUAGUUAGUUGGUGAGGUAAUGGCUCACCAAGACAAUGAUACAUAGCCGAGUUGAGAGACUGACCGGCCACAAUGGGACUGAGACACGGCCCAUACUCCUACGGGAGGCAGCAGUAGGGAAUCUUCCACAAUGGACGAAAGUCUGAUGGAGCAACGCCGCGUGUGUGACGAAGGGUUUCGGCUCGUAAAACACUGUUGUAAGAGAAGAAUGACAUUGAGAGUAACUGUUCAAUGUGUGACGGUAUCUUACCGGAAAGGAACGGCUAAAUACGUG
rnacentral:rRNA from 1 species